rfam:Ixodes scapularis strain Wikel colony gcontig_1107728728956, whole genome shotgun sequence.
GCAGUCGUGGCCGAGUGGUUAAGGCGAUGGACUAGAAAUCUACUGGGGUCUUCCCGUAUAGGUUCGAAUCCUGUCGACUGCG